rnacentral:lncRNA from 10 species
UUUAAAGACUUCAUUUUUGGUCAGCAUAAGUUUUCUUUAAAUAUUUUUCUGUUUCCAGUUGGACUUCACUUUGAGGCUUAACAUAUCAAAGUGAGUAUAAAGUUCUACAAUUUAGUCAUUGUGGAUUUUAUGUCAUUUAUGAUGAAAAUGGAAAUGUGUAGUUAAGAAAAUUUUCUUCUUCUGUAACAUCUAACUCUUCAUCCUCAUCAUCUUCUGCUUGUUGAUCCUUUCUUAGUCGACAAGUGGAUACCUGUCUUGUUCCAGAUACACACUUAGCUGACAGUGAUCUCUGAAGAGGUGACUUUGAAUUCGCUCUUACAGUAUCUAAACAAGAUGAAUAAUCUGGUGCAUACAGAGAAUUUCGGAAAACCUCUAAAUCUUCAUCUUCAUCAAUGUUUUGUAUAUUCCGGUAGGCAGCAGUGUAGACCUCUAAAGCUUUGCCGUGAAAUAACAUUUCGAUUGUGAUAAAUUCAGAAAAUAUAGUCUUUAUAUCCUUCAUUUUCUGCCUUUCAAAGUUGUUAAUAGUUUCCUCCAGAUGACGACUUGUUCGGCUAGCAUCCAUUGCAGUUCUCUGUAAUUCCGUUUCUGCCUGUGAAAUAACAUGUCGAUCAGAUGGGUUUCGCUGACGUGUUCUUUCUAACUGAGUUAAUUGCUUAGCUUCUCGAUUCCUUGCUGUGAAUGUUGCUUUGAGGUCAUCCCGUUUCAUUUUCACAAUGGUCCCAUAAGCUUUCAAGGGUUCAACUACUUUGGGUUCAACUACUUUGGCUUCAAGUCUUUCAACCUCUGCUUGUCGAUAAUCCUGAAGUUUGGCAAACUCAUCAUCAAAGUUCAUCAGGCCCAGCUUUAAAUGUGGGGUCUCUGUAGCAGCAUACGCAUUGAUUUCAUUCACCAGGUGGUCUGCUUUGUCUCUCAGCCUGGCAGUUUUCCGCACAUAGGCAGCGAAGAUUUGGCACAGUUCUCCAAAAUGCUUCUCCACAUUUGAGACAGCUGUUUGCAGUUGUUUCGUUUGAGCGUUCCGAUUUUCCAGGGUGCACCUCAUCAUGCUGCCUCGCGCACGGCAGGGGACCUUGCGGGGGCCCAGUAUUUG